UAUUCAGCAUUUCACUGUGAGGUCUACUACACCUGUUGUAUUCAGCAUUUCACUGUAAGGUCUACUACACCUGUUGUAUUCAGCAUUUCACUGUAAGGUCUACUACACCUGUUGUAUUCAGCAUUUCACUGUAAGGUCUACUACACCUGUUGUAUUCAGCAUUUCACUGUAAGGUCUACUACACCUGUUGUAUUCAGCAUUUCACUGUAAGGUCUACUACACCUGUUGUAUUCAGCAUUUCACUGUAAGGUCUACUCCACCUGUUGUAUUCAGCAUUUCACUGUAAGGUCUACUACACCUGUUGUAUUCAGCAUUUCACUGUAAGGUCUACUACACCUGUUGUAUUCAGCAUUUCACUGUAAGGUCUACUACACCUGUUGUAUUCAGCAUUUCACUGUAAGGUCUACUCCACCUGUUGUAUUCAGCAUUUCACUGUAAGGUCUACUACACCUGUUGUAUUCAGCAUUUCACUGUAAGGUCUACUACACCUGUUGUAUUCAGCAUUUCACUGUAAGGUCUACUACACCUGUUGUAUUCAGCAUUUCACUGUAAGGUCUACUACACCUGUUGU